GACAUCAAUAACGAUUAAAAGGUUUAGCGGUUAUGGAUGGGGAUGCGUCUGAUUAGCUUGUUGGCGGGUAACGGCCCACCAAGGCUACGAUCAGUAGGGGUUCUGAGAGGAAGGUCCCCACAUUGGAACUGAGACACGGUCCAAACUCCUACGGGAGGCAGCAGUGAGGAAUAUUGGUCAAUGGGCGAGAGCCUGAACCAGCCAAGUAGCGUGCAGGAUGACGGCCCUAUGGGUUGUAAACUGCUUUUAUGUGGGAAUAAAGUGCGUGACGUGUCAUGCAUUGCAGGUACCACAUGAAUAAGGACCGGCUAAUUCCGUGCCAGCAGCCGCGGUAAAU
rnacentral:rRNA from 1 species